rnacentral:lncRNA from 1 species
AUUAAAAAGGGGUUUCUGCCAGGGGCAGUUUCAUAAUUUUUCUGACCCUCAAAAAUUCUGGAAAUAUUUGAAAUGAUAAUUUGAUGUGUUUUCUAGAUUGUGUCCAAAAAUGGCGAUUUUUAGAUGUAUAGAUUAUGAGUUAUGGAUUUUAUGAGAAAAGACUAGUUUAAAAGAAAACCCUUAUAACUCCUUGUGGUUAACUCCAAAAUUGGUGAACUUUUUAUUGAGAGUACAUGUAUAUAACAUGAGUAUACCCUGUAAAUUUCAGAAUUU